rnacentral:rRNA from 1 species
AUACCCGGGUAGUCCUAGCCGUAAACGAUGCNAGCUAGGUGUCACGUGGAUUGCGAAUCCAUGUGGUGCCGAAGGGAAACCGUGAAGCUCGCCGCCUGGGAAGUACGGCCGCAAGGCUGANNCUUAAAGGAAUUGGCGGGGGAGCACCACAACGGGUGGAGCCUGCGGUUUAAUUGGACUCAACGCCGGAAAGCUCACCGGAGACGACAGCGGGAUGAGGGCCAGGCUGAUGACCUUGCUAGACUAGCUGAGAGGAGGUGCAUGGCCGCCGUCAGUUCGUACCGUGAGGCGUCCUGUUAGGUCAGGCAACGAGCGAGACCCGUACCCACAGUUGCCAGCGGCUGCUCCGGCAGGCUGGGUACACUAUGGGGACCGCCUCUGCUAAAGAGGAGGAAGGAGCGGGCGACGGUAGGUCAGUAUGCCCCGAAUUCUCCGGGCUACACGCGGGCUACAAUGGAUGGGACAAUAGGUCCCGACACCGAAAGGUGAAGGCAAUCUCUUAACCCCAUUCUUAGUUCGGAUUGAGGGCUGGAACUCGCCCUCAUGAAGCUGGAAUCCGUAGUAAUCGC